AGCUGUGAGCCAAAUCUUGAUCCUACUGAGAUCAGCAAUAGUUUGCCACUGAUUUCAAUAGGAUUAGGACUUGGCUCUUUAACU